AGUGAGUUGGCAGAGUAAUGCCCUUGAUUUAGGAUCAACCUACAGAAUUUUAAUUCUACUCACUA
rnacentral:tRNA from 1 species